UGUGAGCGAUGCAAGGACCAGAACUGGUUGACUCGAGGAGUCGUUUUCGAUUUAUUGAAUCCUGUCUCGGCUUGAUGGGCUGUUUGUGCAUCAGCUAUGCGAUCUGGACACCUUGGUGGCUGGAUGAGCAGGGUCUGUGGACCUCAGGGAAUCAGACCAGACUGGACGACAGCUGGACUACUGAAGACAUUACUAAAGCUCUGGAGGCUGAGAGAGUGUUUGCAGUGGUGGCUUUCCUCAUGUCGGUGAGCUCUGGACUGCUGUGUCUCAUGUCCGCUCUCUGUUGGAGGUCUCAAACUGUGCAUUCCUACUCGAACACUCGCUCGCUGCUGAUGGCAGGCCAGGCACUUGACCCGAGCACUCUGCUGCUGCUUACACUAGUACCUUCAGGAUUUUUUUUUUUUCUAAGCUGGGCGCUUUUUACCCAUCAACAUAUUGGUGAGAUCAGGGAUGACGUCAGUCGACUCGGCCUGUCCUAUUGGCUGGGAGUGGUGGGUUGGGCUUCGCUAUUGGCCGUGCUGCCUGUGGUCUUCCUGGCGGAGAAGUUUGUGGUUCCUGACAUCCUGCCGGAGUUAAAAAAGACUGCAGAAAUGUGGUGGAAGGCUCCCGAGGUUGCACACGCGCGAUCGUUUAGUGAGGGUUUCUAUCAUUCACAGCAUAAGUCUCAUCCUGACGUUAGGAGGUAUUUGUCAGUGCCUUGAACGAGAGGAAGGAGGUAGCAAGAAAAUACAAAAGAGAAGAGACUCUUGUCUCGCUGGUCUUCUAGCCAACUAUAUGAGCUGAGCAAAUGUCUCACAACAGGGGUUGAUGACCUGCAUGAGAAACCUGUAACUGCUUUCUGGGAUGUGGGACACAAAGCUACAGGUUAUAAGGUUGUGCGCUGGCCUUGACAGUGGUAUCACAGCUGUAUUUGGACGAGGACACCCAUAAAUGUGGUUAACGGUAUACCAGAGUUCACUAUCUGUGUGAGACAUAAAGCUGAAAGGAUCUUGAUGUUGCAGACUAUUUCUCCAUAACUUUUCAUAGCCGUUGUCUGCAAUUGUACAGUGACUUCAGGGAGGUCUUUUUUUAAAAUGCAUUUUAAAUAUGCUGAAUUAUUGACUAUAAAUGUAAAUAAUUUUCAUGGCAUAAAUCUGUUGUGGUUUGUUCAGCUGUGCCUAUAGCACAGUUAACUAAACUUGAGUUUUAUAUUUAUAUANNNNNNNNNNNNNNNNNNNNNNNNNNNNNNNNNNNNNNNNNNNNNNNNNNNNNNNNNNNNNNNNNNNNNNNNNNNNNNNNCUAAAAUUUAUAUAUAUAUAUAAGACACUAAAAUAGUGUCUUAAGUAAUGCUACUGCUGUUAUGGUUACCUCGAAUGCAAUAAUUAGCUCCAUAUUUAGCAAGAAAUGAAAAUAUGUGUUUUGACUGAUUUUUAAAGUUAUUGAAACAUUAAAAAAAAAUGGUGGUGAUCAUUUAAUUCCAGAUUGUUCUGCUCGUGCUCAGUUUUGCAGACAAUACUGAUUCAAAUAGCCACAGAGCACUUUUGACCUGCUAACACUUCUAGGUGCUUAUGCAGAAUUUAACACUACUAGAUGGUGCUACAAUUGUUUUUGUUUUUUGCGUCUCUUGUCUUUUUUUUAUGCGGAAACAGUGCUCUCUACUGGCGAUAGUACAAAGAGCAUCCUGUUCUGUCUAUCAUUUGCAUUUUUUAAAGCUCUAUUAAUUAUACUUUUUGUACUGUUUUUAACCAAUAAAUAAAAUGGUUAUCAUAUAAAGCUGAGUCA
ensembl:lncRNA